CCGUAAAGGUUAAGUGGAAACUUAUUUUUCCGGACAAGUAAUUGGUGCAUCUAAUGUAUUUUCCCUUUAAUUUUCUUUUACUUUCUCUUCUUUGAUGGAUAAGCUAGAGAAAACUAGUCACCUCAAGAGGGAGAAGUCCUUUUUCUCUUUUUUCUGUUGUUUCUGUGUAUUUUAUUUUUAUUUUUGGAUUAUCGGCAAGGAUAGAGUGACUUCUUUGGCUGUUGAUGUCAGUGUAACAACCUUUUUGCUUAUAUUCUUUAUGCGAUGAGAGGAGAUAAGAAGACAUCGUUUGCGUUUGGUUAAAUCAUUUGAGGAACACUUUUUUAUUUGAUGGGCCCAAUGGGACAGCUGCCGUUAUAUAUGCUAAAGAGAAUCUCUUGCAGAAUGUCUUGAGUGUUAUUCCCCCAGAGCUUAACAGAGAUGAAUGGGUUGCAGCAUUGCCCAGGGCUUUGGUUGCAGGAUUUGUCAAAACAGAUAAAGAUUUUCAAGAAAGAGCACAAACUUCUGGGACAACAGUCACAUUUGUCAUAAUUGAAGGAUGGGUUGUAACAGUUGCAUCGGUUGGUGAUUCCACUACCUAUGUUCAUAUGUUUUGUGUAUCUGCAACAAUUGAUAUGCAGCUUGGGAACUUCAGGCAUUCAGUUAGGGAGGUUCCACUUCUCACCCGCUAUUUUAUAGUUAUGGCAACAUCAAACUUUAUAAGAUGAAAGUACAAUUUUAAGCUUGAACUUUUACUCUAAAUCAAGUGAAAGUUAGAAAUCUUGUGGCUCCUUGUUGAUUCUGCUUUCAUGUUGAGGUGGAGUCUUGUCAUGAUUCCUCUACUCUUUUCCUUGACUUAUUGAUUUUGGCAAUCCUUAGCUUUUAAUUCCUAUUGGACGAAAUGCAAUAAUAAUAAAGGCAUUCCAUCUAGUCAUGACAGGUGCAGAUGUUGCUAGGAAGGAUACUAGUUCCUAAAUCCAAUUUAUCCCUAAAUCUUUUUGAACCUCUGUAUUGAAGUUAUACUCCAUCCAUCCGCCCCAAUUUAUGACAGUGGAGUUUAAGAAGAAAAAAAGAUUUUUAAUGUUUGUGGUGUAAAACAAGUCAUAGAAAUUUAUGUGGUUAUAAAUUAUGUCAUUAAAGGUAAAAGGGAAAAUUCAAAAUUAAAUUGUUUCUAAAUAAGGAAAUAUAAUAUUAUUUUUUUUUAGGAUAGAAAAAAAAUUAAUAUGACACAUAAAUUGGGUCUAGUCAUGUCAUGCUUUUCAUUAGAGUGAUAGUCUAGUCAUGCUUUUCAUUUUCAAUUACUCACAGUGAGAGAAGAGGGAGCUGGAAUUGUUCAUCUAAUGAUUGCUGAAUACCAACCAAGUAAAAUUUUAGGUAAUAUUUGUAAACAUAUUUAAUUAAAAGAAUGACUUACUGGCUUCCCAGAGCCUCUGAAAUCUCCUAAUAUUGUGAAGAAAUUCUUUUCUUUGAAUGAAAGCCUCUAAAUGGCUCUGAAUUUUUCAAUGUUUCAAUGCAACACAAGCUUUCUUUUAAUAUUGUUUAUCCGAAAAACAGAUAGACUUGAAUUUGUACGUAGUUCUAAGGAUACGUGGUGCAACUUAAUACAAAAGGUAAGGAUAAAUAGAAAUAUCAAGUAGGGAUUACAAAGAAUGCAAAAUAGAUAAGGUUGCCAAGAAGAUGAAUUUUAGCACUAAACAAGUGGAAUCAAUUUUAGAAGCUUGGAAGAACAACUUUUCACUAUAGGAGAAUAUGGUGCUCGAAUUACAAUGUAAGCAAAAAACUCUCCCUUACAGAAAUGAUAACCAUGCCCUUUAUAGUAGAUCUUACUUUAGAUAUAAUUAAAAAUACAUAGUGGGAGACCCAUGAUAAAUCAUCUUUUCCACAAUUCCUACCAAGAUUCUUUCCUUUAGUGGGAUUGCAACGGUCUUGUCUAUGAGCUCGAUAUUGACUCGAGUUUUC